rnacentral:rRNA from 1 species
GAUGAACGCUGGCGGCGUGCCUAAUACAUGCAAGUCGAGCGAACGGACGAGAAGCUUGCUUCUCUGAUGUUAGCGGCGGACGGGUGAGUAACACGUGGAUAACCUACCUAUAAGACUGGGAUAACUUCGGGAAACCGUAGCUAAUACCGGAUAAUAUUUUGAACCGCAUGGUUCAAAAGUGAAAGACGGUCUUGCUGUCACUUAUAGAUGGAUCCGCGCUGCAUUAGCUAGUUGGUAAGGUAACGGCUUACCAAGGCAACGAUGCAUAGCCGACCUGAGAGGGUGAUCGGCCACACUGGAACUGAGACACGGUCCAGACUCCUACGGGAGGCAGCAGUAGGGAAUCUUCCGCGAUGGGCGAAAGCCUGACGGAGCAACGCCGCGUGAGUGAUGAAGGUCUUCGGAUCGUAAAACUCUGUUAUUAGGGAAGAACAUAUGUGUAAGUAACUGUGCACAUCUUGACGGUACCUAAUCAGAAAGCCACGGCUAACUACGUG